GUCGAGAGGCUUCGGCAAUGGGGGAAACCCUGACCGAGCGACGCCGCGUGAGGGAUGAAGGCCCUUGGGUUGUAAACCUCUUUUGUUCGGGAAGAAAUGCGACCAGGUGAACAAUCUGGUCGUUUGACGGUACCGGACGAAUAAGCUCCGGCUAACUCCGUGCCAGCAGCCGCGGUAACACGGGGGGAGCAAGCGUUGUUCGGAAUCACUGGGCGUAAAGGGCGUGUAGGCGGUCCGGUAAGUGAGAUGUGAAAUGCCUCGGCUCACCCGAGGACCUGCAUCUCAAACUGCCUGACUCGAGUACGGGAGAGGAUGAGGGAAUUCCUGGUGUAGCGGUGAAAUGCGUAGAUAUCAGGAGGAACACCGGUGGCGAAAGCGCUCAUCUGGCCCGAUACUGACGCUGAGGCGCGAAAGCUAGGGGAGCAAACGGGAUUAGAUACCCGUGUAGUCC
rnacentral:rRNA from 1 species